GCUUGAGCACGUAGGUGGGUUUGUAAGUCAGAUGUGAAAGCCUUCUGUUCAACGGAAGAAUUGCAUCUGAAACUACAAGUCUUGAGUGUAGGAGGGGAGAAUGGAACUUCUGGUGGAGCGGUGAAAUGCGUAGAUAUCAGAAGGAACGCCGGCGGCGAAAGCGAUUCUCUGGCCUAUUACUGACACUCAGUGUGCGAAAGCUAGGGGAGCAAACGGGAUUAGAUACCCCGGUAGUCCUAGCCGUAAACGAUGGGCACUAAGUAGAGGGGAUUACCGAUGUUCUCUCUGCCGUAGCUAACGCAUUAAGUGCCCCGCCUGGGGAGUACGGCCGCAAGGCUAAAACUCAAAAGAAUUGACGGGGGCUCGCACAAGCGGUGGAGCAUGUGGCUUAAUUCGAUGCAACGCGAAGAACCUUACCGGGGCUUGACAUGGUAGAAGUAGGAACCCGAAAGGGUAACGAACGGUAUCCAGUCCGUGACUAUCACAGGUGUUGCAUGGCUGUCGUCAGCUCGUGUCGUGAGACGUUGGGUUAAGUCCCCUAACGAGCGAAACCCUUGUUUUUAGUUACCAGCGGGUUAUGCCGGGUACUCUAGAAAGACUGCCGUCGUCAAGACGGAGGAAGGUGGGGAUGACGUCAAGUCAUCAUGGCCCUUAUGCCCCGGGCUGCACACGUGCUACAAUGGUCGGUACAAACGGAAGCGAAGCCGAGAGGUGAAGCGAAUCCAAGC
rnacentral:rRNA from 1 species